rnacentral:rRNA from 1 species
UACGUAGGCAGCAAGCGUUGUUCGGAGUUAUUGGGCGUAAAGGGCGCGUAGGCGGUUUGACAAGUCUGAUGUGAAAUCUAUGGGCUCAACCCAUAGCCUGCAUUAGAAACUGUCGGGCUUGAGUAUGGGAGAGGUGAGUGGAAUUUCCGGUGUAGCGGUGAAAUGCGUAGAUAUCGGAAGGAACACCUGUGGCGAAAGCGGCUCACUGGACCAUAACUGACGCUGAGGCGCGAAAGCUAGGGGAGCAAACAGG